AGAGUUGAUCCUGGCUCAGGACGAACGCUGGCGGCGUGCUAAUACAUGCAAGUCGAGCGAAUGGAUGGGAGCUUGCUCCCUGAAGUUAGCGGCGGACGGGUGAGUAACACGUGGGCAACCUGCCGUAAGACUGGGAUAACUUCGGGAAACCGGAGUAAUACCGGAUACGUUCUUUCCUGCAUGAGGAAAGAUGGAAAGACGGUUUCGGCUGUCACUUACAGAUGGGCCCGCGGGCUUAGUAGUUGGUGAGGUAAUGGCUCACCAAGGCCACGAUGGUAGCCGACCUGAGAGGGUGAUCGGCCACACUGGGACUGAGACCGGCCCAGAUCUACGGGAGGCAGCAGUAGGGAAUUUCCGCAAUGGACGAAAGUCUGACGGAGCAACGCCGGUGAGCGAAGAAGGCCUUCGGGUGUAAAGCUUGUUGUUAGGGAAGAACAGUGCCAGAGUAACUGUGGCACCUUGACGGUACCUAACCAGAAAGCCACGGCUAACUACGUGCCAGCAGCCGCGGUAAUACGUAGGUGGCAAGCGUUGUCCGGAAUUAUUGGGGUAAAGCGCGGCAGGUGGUUCCUUAAGUUGAUGUGAAAGCCCACGGUCAACCGUGGAGGGUCAUUGGAAACUGGGGGACUUGAGUGCAGAAGAGGAAAGUGGAAUCCAAGUGUAGCGGUGAAAUGCGUAGAGAUUGGAGGAACACCAGGCGAAGGCGACUUCGUCUGUAA
rnacentral:rRNA from 2 species